rnacentral:rRNA from 1 species
GAUGAACGCUGGCGGCGUGCCUAAUACAUGCAAGUCGAGCGAACAGACGAGGCUCUUGCUCCUCUGACGUUAGCGGCGGACGGGUGUGUAACACGUGGAUAACCUACCUAUCUGUCUGGGAUCUCUUCGGGAAACCGGCGCUAAUACCGGAUAAUCUCUUGCUCCGCAUUGUUCAAUAGUGAAUGUCGGUUUUGCUGUCUCUUAUAGAUGGUUCCGGGCUGUAUUAGCUAGUUGGUACGGUAACGGCUUACCAAGGGGAGGAGGCGUAGCCGACGUGACAGGGUGAUCGGCCACACGGGAAGGGAGACAGGGACCAGAGUCCUACGGGAGGCAGCAGAAGGGAAUGGGCCGCAAUGGGCGAAAGCCUUACGGAGCAACGCGACGUGAGAGAUGAAAGUCUUCGGAUCGGAAAACUCGGUUAUGAGGGAAGAACAAAUGUGGAAGUAAAUAUGGACGGAGUGACGGUAACGAAUCAGAAAGCCACGGCUAACUACGUG